rnacentral:rRNA from 1 species
GUCCCAGUUCGGAUUGUAGUCUGCAACCCGACUACAUGAAGCUGGAAUCGCUAGUAAUCGCAGGUCAGCAUACUGCGGUGAAUACGUUCCCGGGUCUUGUACACACCGCCCGUCACACCAUGGGAGCCGGAAAUGCCCGAAGCCAGUGACCCAACCUUAGGGAGGGAGCUGUCGAAGGUGGAGCCGGUAACUGGGGUGAAGUCGUAACAAGGUAGC